rnacentral:rRNA from 1 species
UACGUAGGGUGCAAGCGUUGUCCGGAAUCAUUGGGCGUAAAGCGCGUGUAGGCGGCUCGGUAAGUCUGCUGUGAAAGUCCAGGGCUCAACCCUGGAAAGCCGGUGGAAACUGUCGAGCUAGAGUCCGGAAGAGGCGAGUGGAAUUCCUGGUGUAGCGGUGAAAUGCGCAGAUAUCAGGAGGAACACCAAUGGCGAAGGCAGCUCGCUGGGACGGUACUGACGCUGAGACGCGAAAGCGUGGGGAGCAAACAGG